AGCAGCAGCCGCGGGAAUACGUAGGUGGCAAGCGUUGUCCGGAAUUAUUGGGCGUAAAGGGCUCGCAGGCGGUUUCUUAAGUCUGAUGUGAAAGCCCCCGGCUCAACCGGGGAGGGUCAUUGGAAACUGGGAAACUUGAGUGCAAGAGGGGAGAGUGGAAUUCCAUGUGUAGCGGUGAAAUGCGUAGAGAUGUGGAGGAACACCAGCGGCGAAGGCGACUCUCUGGUCUGUAACUGACGCUGAGGAGCGAAAGCGUGGGGAGCGAACAGGAUUAGAUACCCCUGUAGUCCCUGUCUCUUAUAC
rnacentral:rRNA from 1 species